rnacentral:rRNA from 1 species
CCAUGGUUUCACGGGUUAACGGGGAAAUAAGGGUUCGAUUCCGGAGUANGGAGCCUGAGAAACGGCUACCACAUCCAAGGCAAGGCAGCAGGCGCGCAAAUUACCCAAUCCUGACACAGGGUAGGUAGUGACAAUAAAUAACGAUACAGGGANCCAUUCGGGUCUUGUAAUUGGAAUGAGUACAAUGUAAAUACCUUAACGAGGAACAAUUGGNGGGCAAGUCUGGUGCCNGCAGCNGCGGUNAUUCCAGCUCCAAUAGCGGGUNNUAAAGNUGUUGCAGUUUAAAAGCUCGUAGUUNNACUUUGNNNCUGGGNGGCCNGUCCGAUUUUUUCNUGUGUGAAAUGCACCCNGGCCAUUCCUUCU